rnacentral:rRNA from 1 species
UACAGAGGGGGCAAGCGUUGUUCGGAAUUACUGGGCGUAAAGGGCGCGUAGGCGGCCUGCUAAGUCGAACGUGAAGUCCCUGGGCUCAACCCAGGAACUGCGUCCGAUACUGGUUGGCUUGAAUUCGGGAGAGGGAUGCGGAAUUCCAGGUGUAGCGGUGAAAUGCGUAGAUAUCUGGAGGAACACCGGUGGCGAAGGCGGCAUCCUGGACCGAUAUUGACGCUGAGGCGCGAAAGCCAGGGGAGCAAACGGG